rnacentral:rRNA from 1 species
GAUGAACGCUGGCGGCGUGCUUAACACAUGCAAGUCGAACGAAGAUGCCGGAGUGCUUGCACUUUGGCAGACUGAGUGGCGGACGGGUGAGUAACGCGUGGGUAACCUGCCUUAUACAGGGGGAUAACAGUUGGAAACGACUGCUAAUACCGCAUAAGCGCACGGUAUCGCAUGAUACAGUGUGAAAAACUCCGGUGGUGUGAGAUGGACCCGCGUCUGAUUAGCCAGUUGGCGGGGUAACGGCCCACCAAAGCGACGAUCAGUAGCCGGCCUGAGAGGGUGAACGGCCACAUUGGGACUGAGACACGGCCCAAACUCCUACGGGAGGCAGCAGUAGGGAAUUUUGCGCAAUGGGCGAAAGCCUGACGCAGCAACGCCGCGUGUGUGAUGACGCCCUUCGGGGUGU